GCCGGGUGCAGUGGCGCAUUCCUGUAAUGCCAGUGGCUCUGGAGGCUGAGGCAGGAGAAUUGCGAGUUUUCAAAGCCAGCCUCCGCAAUGGGGAGGCACUGAGCAACUCAGUGAGACCCUGUCUCUA
rnacentral:sRNA from 1 species